AUAUUGGGCAAUGGGCGCAAGCCUGACCCAGCAAUGCCGCGUGGGUGAAGAAGGUCCUCGGAUUGUAAAGCCCUUUCGGCGGGGACGAUAAUGACGGUACCCGCAGAAGAAGCCCCGGCCAACUUCGUGCCAGCAGCCGCGGUAAUACGAAGGGGGCUAGCGUUGCUCGGAAUUACUGGGCGUAAAGGGCGCGUAGGCGGCCCUGCUUGUCCGGCGUGAAAUCCCAGGGCUCAACCUUGGGGCUGCGCUGGAGACGGCGGGGCUAGAGGCAAGGAGAGGCUCGCGGAAUUCCCAGUGUAGAGGUGAAAUUCGUAGAUAUUGGGAAGAACACCGGUGGCGAAGGCGGCGAGCUGGCCUUGAUCUGACGCUGAGGCGCGACAGCGUGGGGAGCAAACAGG
rnacentral:rRNA from 1 species